CUCUCAUCGGAUACUCCAUACUCCAACUUGACAUUAGAUCUCUAUUUGAUCUUACGGUAUCUCCAACUUUAAACCCUAACGUGUCCCUCUCCCUCAUCAGACCCUCCAUUCCUGCCUCCGACUUCCGAUCUCCGGUCCCCACUUCCAUCGUCGGCGAAGGUACUCCACAUUUAUUUAUUGGUGGUGUUUGUUCCACGCGUGGUGCUCAUAGAUCUAAAGCCACGGACGAUGCACGGUCUUAGAUCUGGAGUACGGACAAAUCUUCACAGUCGGGUGCGGGUAAUAAUUGGGCGAAAGGACAUUACUGAAGGCGGUUUGUAAUAUUGUUUGGAAAAUUUGGACUGGUAUUAGGCUACUGAAACAGGAAGUGGACCGAUAUAUAGGAUUAUGGGUUACAAACGGGUGUAAAAUCUUACAGGAAUAUUAGUCAGGCGUUUCGCCAUAUUGUGCCUCUUCGACUACAGCUGAUGACUACACAAAGAAGUACAUGGAUUAGAAAGUAUGGCUGGUCUUCGUGCAUAACUGGUGGCUUUUGUGGUGACUGGUCCAUACUUGAUUAUUUCAGACAAAACAUGAGAAAUGAGGAACACUGCUUCUCAUUAUAUAGAAGACAGGUAAAAUGCAGCAACCGCUACCCGUUAUUUUAGGAAUUAGGUGGUUACAUCCACAACUCCUCAUUAAUCGUGGCUUAACCUUUUUUGUAGGUAAAACUGCUCAAGUGGGUGCGAAAGUUUUGCUAAAAAGCUGGAAUAUUGGCAGGAAUUGAAUUUAGGACUUUAGGAGAGAGGUGCCGAACUGCCAAAAACUGCCCAAAUUACGGUUAAUUUUGGGAGUUUAAAUGGUCAGGAUUUAAUCUCAGCAUAAUCGAACGGAUGAUAUUGAUUUCAAAGGUAACUUUCACUUAAUGGGUUCCAUAUAUAUAUAUAAUAUAUAAUGCUCUUAAAGUAUGAUUUUAGAAAAUAUGAAAUUUUAUAACGGAUUAAAAGAAUAUGUUUCAGUCAUAUUCUUUUAUCAUUUAUAAUAAUAAUUGCAAGCUUAUGUUACGUUUUUUAUUAACGAAAAAAAUUUCGUGUCUUGCAAGCUUAUGUUACGAUUUAUAUUAAAGGAAAAAAAUGGUCGUCUUUCAUAACAUUCAUAGUGCCUUAGAUCAUAAGGCGUGGCGUGGAAAUCCGGCGUAGAAGUCAGUCUACGUCAAGCUAACCACCUCGUGUCCGGCGUGGAGCACACUGUUGGGGCUUAAGGAUCUCCGUCGGGGUGUGGAUAAAUGUGUGGGUGAGGCGGCGUCGUUUCAUUGAUGGGUGGAUUUUGAUCGGUUAAUGUUUAUUUUUUUUAAUAUAAAAAUGCCACUUUCCACGCCCCGUUCUACACCUCCCGUUUUUGCACCACGCCCCAUUUCUGAUGCGUGCUUAUGUGUCGUCCACGUGUCGCAUAACGCCCAAUUUUUAAACCCAUUCACAACAUAUAGUUUUAUAAAUAAAUAAUUUAAAUUUUCAAGCCCUUAAGUGUUCUAAGGCCACAUGGUGUGGGCGUGGAAACACGGCGUUGUUGUCAGUCCAUGCCCACAAAACCACCCCGUGCCCCGCGUUGUGAAUGGCGUUGUGUUUGGGGCUUGAGGAUUUCCACCGGCGUGGGAGCAUAUAUCCGGGUGAGGUGGAUGCUCUUUAUUGGUGGGUAUAGUUUACGUUUGUUUUGAUUGGUUGAUGUUUAUUUUGUUUUUAAUUUUUUUUCUUCCACACCACUUUCUCACCCAGUGCUUUUUUUUUUCCAUGCCACCAUGCUGAUGUGGUUAUCGGAUUUGGGUUAAGUAUAUUCGUUUUUUAACCAUAUGCGAAAGGGCUAAAUAAAUAUUACAAGGUUGUAUGUAUAUUUACGAUCGAUCAUGAACUUUAGGGCUGCAUUUUUUCUGGUAUUAAAAUUAAACACACAGUUACAUACAACUUUAUUAAUUUUCAUUAAAAACCCAUUUGUUUACUUUGAAAUUCAAAUUAGAAACCAUGUGAAUUAUAAAGCAGUCAACAAUCUUAGAAUUAAACUUAUAAACCCAUUUUCCAAAUCUUAUUCUUAUAUGAAAAUUCUAAAACUAUUUAACAAUGUGAUCCACAAACCCUUUAAUAACCCCAUGUUUACUAUUACAACUAAGUUAGCUUAAAAUUAUGACCUUAAUUCAAUCUUUAUUAUGAUCAAUAUGGAAACACAUACUUCUUGGUGGGUAGUGAUAAACUUUUAGGAAAAAAAAACGGGGUUUUAUUUUAGAAAUAUAGAUUGGGUUAUUGUCAUCCGGGUUAAUCCGUGCCUUUCGGUACAUAGCCUAUACGAAUCAAGGAAGAGUUUAUAGUGAAGCUGAUUAUCCGAGUAGGGAUGAUAACUAUAUCCGUAAGGGAAGACGGUCUCAAAGGAUAAUCGGUGUGUAGGAGCAGCGGAAGGAGAGAGAAGGAGAGAGAAUCGGAAGAGAAAUGGGAAGCGAUGUGGUGCCAACUGCCUUCAAGUCUCUCUCUAACUCACUUUUUGGGAUGUUUGUGAAAAUUCAAAAAUCCCGCUCAAGAUGUCAGGAAUAUUUUAAUUUAAAGAAAUCCCGCUCAAGAUUUCAUGAAUGUUUUGAUUCAAAAGCAUUUUCAACAUCUUAAGCUUCAAAUACUUGUACCAUGUAGUUUCAAGACUUAUACAUGUUGAAAAAGUGCCAAAUGACUAUUUGCUUAGAUUAUACAGUAUAGAUAAUAAUUAACAAAAUUUUUACAGCCAUCCGUACUUACACGCUACUUUAUGUCUUCUGGAAGUUGGAACAAAAUUUCCCAUUAAACCCUCACUAUCUCGGUGCCUUCAAUCCUCCUCCAACUACCUAUCUGCCACCUCCAUCAAUCCUCAUCAUCCCCAGCUUCAAUUACUCCCCCAUCUACCAUACCAGCUUCAAUUAAUCACCCCAAUCUCUGCCGAUCUGCCACACUGAAGAAGACGACGUACAACUGGGUUGACGCUCCAUUCUCCCGUAAAACCCUAAAGAUCAGCAUCAUCAUCUGCAAAAGACAGAAAAACUUGGAUCUCCAUGUGGUUCCUCCACCGUUAAGAGACAGCUGCAACACCGAAGCAUGCAGAUAACUAUAACUGAGAUUACAUUCUCCAUAAUACAAGGGAUACAUACGACUGGAGAUGAGGAAUAUGGAAAGUUUUACAAACCAUAUGCUACUUCAAUUGUACAAUUUCUAAAGAUAGCAAUAUGUGCUACGAGUGGCCUAGACUACUUUCAUAAUAAGAGAAUGGAUUGAUACAACCGUCAACCACAACCACGAGUACUUGCUAAUGUACGGAGGCAAUAUACGGGGUGCUGUUGGGCCUAUGCAACGUAUAGAGGCAUUAAUGCACAUAAUGAAUCCUACACAAGCAUUUACUCCUUUAAGCAUUCAACAAAUAGUUGAUUGCUAUGAUCGUAAACUUGAUCAUGUCGUUUUGAUAGUUGGGUACGGGACGAGAGAUGGUGUAGAUUACUGGAAAAUCCUCAAUUCUUGGGGUCCAAAUGUGGGUACAAAUGGAUGUUUCUACUUAGAAUCCUACACAAGCUUUUACUCCUUUAAGCAUUCAACAAAUAGUUGAUUGCUAUGACAUGUAUAAAAAUGAGUUAGCAGAAGGGGGCAGACCAAAGCGUGUCUUUCGGUACAUAGCCUAUACUAAUCAAGGAAGAGUUUACAGUGAAGCUGAUUAUCCGAUUAGGGAUGGUAACUAUAUCCGUAAGGGGGAAUGUGCAACUGAAACGCUAUAACCAACGUUUACAAUUGACGGAUUCGAUAUGAUUGAGGAUGACGAGGACUACCUUAAAAAAACCGUACGGAAACUACCUGUGACCGCACAUGUCUCCUCUAGUAUCUUAGUGAAGACACGUGAUCAGGCGAAUCAUAUUAUCCGUUAUGCUGAUGUGGACGAGAAUCGUAAAAUUGAUCAUGUCGUUUUGAUAGUUUUGAUAGUUGGGUACGGGGCGAGAGAUGGUGUAGAUUAUUGGAAAAUCCUCAAUUCUUUGGGUCCAAAUGUGGGUACAAAUGGAUGUUUAUCUUAGAAAGGAACACGGACGAUCCUAGCGGAACGGUUGGUAUUGCCAAGCAAUGUUGUUACCCAUUAAAGCAAGGUUUCAAUUGAUUACUUAGUUUGAACCCAUGAACGGAUGAUUUUUGAACUUUUAAACUGAUGGUUUUAGACGAUGAUAUAGUGAGGCACUAUCUAAUUGUUUUUUGGAAGUACAUUUAAACGAUUAGAUGCAACCUUUGUUUGGCCUAUCAUA